UUAUGGAACUUCCAAUUGAACACGGGGCUACUUCUGGAUAACCUUUUAGAUCGUUAUGGUAUGGAUUUGGCCCGGUGAUGAUGCUCCAAUGGCCAACCUUCCUUCUUUAUUACCUCCUUCAGGAUUUGAAAUCCAUGCCGAGGUGUACUUUAAUGGAAUUGAAAUUGUUUCAUAUCUGGUGGUUACAAGUUUCACAUCAAUCAUGCUUGCAUGAUCUUUUGUGAGAGUUUGUAUUUUAUCUUUUCUCCCAUGUCCUUGGAUGACAGAUCGUUAUGGAACUCUUAAUUGAACAUGGGCUACUUCUGGAUAACCUUUUAGAUCUAGCACAUGCUCCAUUUACCCACACUUCUACCUUUGCCAAGGGCUGGGUUGUUCCCAGCUUGGUGAAGUUUUUAACAGCUGCAUCUGGCCUCCAAGGAUACUGGGACACUCAUCCAAUGGAUAUGGAAUUUUGACCUCCAUGAUCAACCAUGGGGAUUCCAAAACCUGGAAAGUCGGAAGGACAGAUUACCAGACAGUGUUCAACACAUCUUCAUCAACUUCAUGUCUGCUUACCUUCAUCGAGGAAGAAAACAAGGUUGUCAUAUAGAAUGUCAAUGGACUUCGCUUCUGUUUAAAAGCACAUCCCCUCAGCUCAAUGCUUGUAGGGGCAUUUUGCAGAACAGGAAAACAUUGUUUUCUCUGGCCUAUCCUUUCGCCCAAGUAGGGGUUCUGGGUUGGUUUAACAAGAAUAAAACUCACCCAUAUGUAUCCUUUUGCCUAAUGUGAAGGUUGGUUGGGUUCUGGGAUACUAUGAUCAGAUUUAUAGCUACUGUACCAAUUACAUCAAUGUUUCGUUUUAUAUAGUCUUACUAUUUGAUUCUAAGUUA